rnacentral:rRNA from 1 species
UACAGAGGGUGCAAGCGUUAAUCGGAAUUACUGGGCGUAAAGCGUGCGCAGACGGUUGCGUAAGUCAGAUGUGAAAGCCCCGGGCUCAACCUGGGAAUUGCAUUUGAGACUGCGUAGCUAGGGUGCGGAAGAGGGAAGCGGAAUUUCCGGUGUAGCGGUGAAAUGCGUAGAUAUCGGAAGGAACACCAGUGGCGAAAGCGGCUCCUGGUC